GAAGGAGAAUAGCGCUUCAUGAAAGUGGCUUCCCAGUGCUAUAGCAGGGCUAAACAACUCUUUUGUUUGCAUUCAGAAGAUCAUUUCCUCUGGCACAACAAGACACAAAACUUUUAAAGACUUCAAACUAAAAAUGUCCAAGCCGGUGCACGUGGACAGGAGGAGCGCCAUGUGAUCCCUCACCCGCGACUGGGAGGUGCCCCUGACAAGCCAGUCCAGAUAGGGGAAUAACUGGCCACCGCCAUCUGAGAUAGGCCGCUACCACCGACACCCUGGUGGCAGUGGACAGACCAAAUGGAAGGACCUUGAAUUGAGCUUUCCCAUCAAACGGGAGAUCCUGGAUGGAAGACUGCGCUUCGCUGGACAGCCCGGAGAGUAGGAGUCACGAUGCCCAUCUCAUGGACACCGCAGAGGCCACUGAUCGUGCGGCCGUGUCCGCAGAAUCCGAAGCUGCCUGCAGGGACGCCCUAGCAGCCGCUGUGCCUUCCUCCACUAGCGCUUUAAACUCCUUCAUGUUGUGCU